rnacentral:rRNA from 1 species
UACAGGGGGGGCAAGCGUUGUUCGGAAUUAUUGGGCGUAAAGCGCACGUAGGCGGCAUUGCAAGUCGGAUGUGAAAUCCCUCAGCUUAACUGGGGAACUGCGUCUGAUACUGGAUGGCUUGAGUUUGGGAGAGGGAUGCGGAAUUCCAGGUGUAGCGGUGAAAUGCGUAGAUAUCUGGAGGAACACCGGUGGCGAAGGCGGCUUCCUGGCCUGUUCUUGACGCUGAGGCGCGAAAGCUAGGGGAGCAAACGGG